UCCAGACUCCUACGGGAGGCAGCAGUGGGGAAUAUUGCACAAUGGGGGAAACCCUGAUGCAGCGACGCCGCGUGAGUGAAGAAGUAAUUCGUUAUGUAAAGCUCUAUCGGCAGGGAAGAAAAUGACGGUACCUGACUAAGAAGCCCCGGCUAACUACGUGCCAGCAGCCGCGGUAAUACGUAGGGGGCGAGCGUUAUCCGGAUUUACUGGGUGUAAAGGGAGCGUAGACGGUUCUGCAAGUCUGAAGUGAAAGCCCGUGGCUUAACCGCGGAACGGCUUUGGAAACUGUGGAACUGGAGUGCUGGAGAGGCAAGCGGAAUUCCUAGUGUAGCGGUGAAAUGCGUAGAUAUUAGGAGGAACACCAGUGGCGAAGGCGGCUUGCUGGACAGUAACUGACGUUGAGGCUCGAAAGCGUGGGGAGCAAACAGGAUUAGAUACCCUCGUAC
rnacentral:rRNA from 1 species